AUAUACUUUGAAUGUGAAUAAUGUUUGUUAAGCGAGAGAAAGAAGAAAUCCAUAGUUUUGUUGGAGAGAAGAUUGAAAAAUAUCAUAGCUCCAUGUUCUACGUUACUGCUUCGCAUUCAUCAAAACAGAAUAUUUGUGCAGCACAAAAAAAGGAGACAAGUCAACCCCGCGAACAACAGUAUUAUUUAUCAAGUUAAAAUGGGACCGGGUAUCAGAAGAGCAGAUAAUUAUUUACUAUUGAUUUAAUAUAAUCUGUUUUCAUUUCAACAUAAUUUAUUUCCUUUUCAAUCACAGUCGUAACUUAGUUUCUUGAAAGGAAUAUGAGCCGGAAACUUUAAAUACAUCAAAAUCUUUUAUUUCUCUUUAGAUAAUUAUCUUUCACUUGCGCAUUGACUGUGGGAUAUUACGUAAUGCGCGUUCCUUACCUAGUGAUCAUACGACACCAGGCCGACUGUGUAGCACCGACCAAUAUACGACGUAAUAAAAUAUAACAUCACGGCAAAUAGAAUAUUUCGCUUUCUAAACCCUGUCUUAUUUACACAACCUUACGUUUAUGUUUUCAACGUAUUCAGAAUUUUUUUAAACAUACCAAUAAACUAAAGUUUAAUUUCAUUACUCCGAUAACAAGAAAAACUAUAUAUCAUAUAUCUUAACCUAUAUAAUGCUGGACACGGCUGGUUCUGCCUUUGUGACCAGUGUAGAUCACGAUCAGCCUGCACACCAGUGCAGUUUGAUCAAGAUCUGCACUGCUCGCAAUUCAGCCAGCGUUCCCUUGUAACAGUGAAUAGUACCGUCCAAAUUGAAAUUGGGACAAGAUUAUUAUAGCAAUUUAGCAUAGUAAGGUUAAAACUGUAUAUUUUAACAUUUUGAGAGACUUAAAAUUGAGUUGACCUCCUUUUGAAUAUUGUUACUCUUUUUAUGAAAAAAAAAGUUCACGGAGUACAUAGGGACGGGAGAGUAGAGGUCGGGGGUAGGCAGAGAAGAAACAAUCAGUUACAUCGAGUUACCUGAAACAAUGCCUACAGAAUGUUUGCUUUGCAUUUUAAUGCAUUCACGUUAACAAACAGAAACUGACUUUUUACGGUCAGUUAUGUUUUGAUGAAUUUUGCGAAUAUGUGUUUCAUUCUGCAAACUGUUCUCCUUGAAUAUGGAAAUUAUUUUUAAUAAUUCAUGAUACACAGUGAGUAAAUAAAUCAUAAAAACGGCAACAUUACUAUAAUUUUACUAUUUACCAAAAAUAUAUUAUCUCCAAGCGUUUGACGCCGUAAAUAAUUCCAAUGUGUUAAAAGCAGCGUGUAUUUUGCGAAUCCCUUAAAAUGUAAUAUUUACAGCUGUCUCAUCAACAUUUAGAUUGUAGAAAACAUAAUUAAACGAUAUUGGUUCAACGCCAAUAAAACACAGCUUGACCCGUUAUAUUAUACCACUCCCAUUCAUUUGCACAAAGUUAAAAGGGUCCUCUAUUUCAGCCAAUCAGAUACAAAGGAGAAAGAUAAGUCACACCUACAGGCAUGACGUAAUAUGUAAAAUAGACCCUCUUAUACUUGUGCAUUGUUUCAACAAUAAAAGAAUAUUCUUUUUGACAGAAAUUUUCCGAAAUGAGCUUGUUUAUUGUCUAGGUUAUGUUGUCGGUAUGUCGGUUCAUAAAGACGCCUGAUGUCGGGACGGUGAAGGCACGUCUACAAGAUAAUGUGGUGUAAACAGUUGGUAAACGUAAUUUCUGGACACAGAUGCGACUUGCAAGGGUCAAAAUCUUUAAAUUAUGAUCUCUAUGUGCAUGCGAAUAUCUUCAGCUGACUUGUGAAAUGUCCAAACAGCUCCAACUGCUACCUAAGAUGAUAACACGGACGAUAAAGGAAUGAAGGGUAUGUCUACUUCACUACGAUUGGCAAAACUUGCACAUCUACUUUCAAGCUGGUGAAAGCACGAUUUCAAGAUGUAAGCUAAAAAAGAAGAUGGUAAUUUCCGGCCACAAGUGUCAAAAUGUUAAAAUUAGGGUCGAAGAGAAAUAUACGUCUCCUUGCGGUAAACCAGAAUACAGCACGGCAUUUUGCUUCAUAUACGUGUUAUUCAAAAGACAACAACAGUUUAAAGCCAAAGGAACCCAAUCUAACAAAUUGUGUCAGUAUUCUAAAUCAUUAUCUGAUAUAUCGUUUGGAAAUUCUCUCCUUUGCUGAUGAAAUACCAUCUAUCAUUUAAUGGAUAUUUAACUAGAACAGAACGGAACAGAACAGAACAGAACGGACCAGAACAGAACUCUCAGUCAGCAUUUACAUCUCUGUAAACGGCAUCGAUAUUGCCAUUUAAUUUAUCAUAAAUUUAUCGAUUUAAUAUAUACAUUGACAUUUUCUUGACAAAAUAUUGAUAAAUCAGUUGAUAGACCGAUUUGCUGUUAUCCGAAUUCAGGAAGCAGCAUAAUACAAUAAGUACAAUGAUUAUCAAGAUUUAUAAAAAAUAUUUCACCUAGAGUUAUUUUGACAUAGGAAAUUCUACACGUCUGACAAACCGGAAGUGAAGGCAUGACGUCAUUUAACCGGAAAUAUAAC